UGUUGACAAUUCAUCAUUUUUGAAAAUAUAGGGAUGUGAUGGUGAAGCAGAUUAGUGAUAAUGGAGAAGGAAGUAAAUAGUUAAGAAGGUAUUAGUGAUGAGAAACUUUGAUUUAUGGUGCGUCCGAGUGGACUCGAACCACCGACCCCCACCA
rnacentral:antisense_RNA from 1 species